rnacentral:rRNA from 1 species
GACGAACGCUGGCGGCGUGCCUAAUACAUGCAAGUAGAACGCUGAAGGAGGAGCUUGCUCUUCUGGAUGAGUUGCGAACGGGUGAGUAACGCGUAGGUAACCUGCCUGGUAGCGGGGGAUAACUAUUGGAAACGAUAGCUAAUACCGCAUAACAGUAGAUGUUGCAUGACAUUUGCUUAAAAGGUGCAAUUGCAUCACUACCAGAUGGACCUGCGUUGUAUUAGCUAGUUGGUGGGGUAACGGCUCACCAAGGCGACGAUACAUAGCCGACCUGAGAGGGUGAUCGGCCACACUGGGACUGAGACACGGCCCAGACUCCUACGGGAGGCAGCAGUAGGGAAUCUUCGGCAAUGGACGGAAGUCUGACCGAGCAACGCCGCGGGAGGGAAGAAGGGUUUCGGAUCGUAAAGCUCUGUUGUAAGAGAAGAACGAGUGUGAGAGUGGAAAGUUCACACUGUGACGGUAGCUUACCAGAAAGGGACGGCUAACUACGUG